rnacentral:rRNA from 1 species
AGUGAACGCUGGCGGUAUGCCUAACACAUGCAAGUCGAACGGCAGCACAGUAAGAUCUUUCUCUUACUGUUGGCGAGUGGCGGACGGGUGAGGAAUACAUCGGAAUCUACUUUUUCUUGGGUGAUAACGUAGGGAAACUUACGCUAAUACCGCAUACUACCUACGGGUUAAAGCAGAGGAUCUUCGCACCUUGCGCGAUUGAAUGAGCCGAUGUCGGAUUAGCUAGUUGGCGUGGUAAAGUCCCACCAAGGCGACGAUCCGUAGCUGGUCUGAGAGGAUGAUCAGCCACACUGGAACUGAGACACGGUCCAGACUCCUACGGGAGGCAGCAGUGGGGAAUAUUGGACAAUGGGCGCAAGCCUGAUCCAGCCAUACCGCGUGGGUGAAGAAGGCCUUCGGGUUGUAAAGCCCUUUUGUUAGGAAAGAAAAGAAGCAGGUUAAUCCCCCGCUGUCCUGACGGUACCCAAAGAAUAAGCAACGGCUAACUUCGUG